rnacentral:misc_RNA from 1 species
GGUCGCUGUUGGCCCUCCACUGGAACAAAAUGUGCCGUUACAACAGCGGGAAACCCAGCAUUGUCCAGAACACCUCUUACUAUGCCAGCAACAAAAGCCCCACAGUUAAACGCUCCCAUGUCUUUUGGAAUUGAAAUAAAUCUAUUCACAAGCAGCUCCUUCUCACUGAUCAUGUACUCGUCUUCAUGCUCAGUGCCUUUCUCAAGUGAGUCAGCAACCUUUCCAAACAAAACCUUCCAAAUUGUGCUGUGUACAAAUGACAGAAUGCCUAAUAAUCUUGUCUCCCGUCUAUUUCCCUUCUCUCGAUGACAAAAAAGUUCCAAUACUCGAGCACCGACUGCAUAGCCUGCAUCCUCCAACCUUCGUUCCAACUCAGCAAUAUUGUCGACCUGAGUCUGAUUGUAUUGCACAAGUUCGGAGAACAAGAAUGCAAAUGCACUCAAACUCACCUCUUGUUUGCCCUUGCUGAGAGGUCUGUCCAGGACAUUAGAAUACUGCUUGAUCUUCCCAACUCCGAUCAUGAUUCCCUAAUUCUUAAGAGCAGCGUUAGUGGAAGUCCCCAAAAAGCGCUUAGAUAGGCCACCCAACUGUCCUUUCCUCCAAAACUGCCUCUAGAUCCCAAUUAAACAGUCCGAACCCACAAAACUCGCUCAAAGACCUUUAGCCUUGCUGGACAGUGUGCGAAAUCCUUCGAACUCACAGAUUCGCCGCCGAAGCAAAGUGGGUAAUCAGAUCCAGAGACAAUCGAGCCGUGGGUGUUGCGGAUUGCCACUGCCGGAAGGAGUCGCCGCCAAUGGAGGCCGAGGGUUCGCUGGGAGAGGUCGUGCGCGAGCGGCACGGUGCUGGAGCGUCGUUUGAAGGCCACGAGUUAGUUGAGAAGGCGUUGCUGGAGCUUGUGGGUCACGCAGAUCGAAACCUCCGCCAGCGUUCACUGCUGUCGCUGGAAACGGAAAAAUAACAGGGGGCGACUGAGACGCAUCUAACGGUGCAGCGUUGCCCGCGUCCUGUUCGUCGUUCGUCGAUUACAGCAGGUGGAUUCCGCCCACUGGAUCUGCUGUCAAGCCGCUGCACGUAGACGGUUGUCGUCGCCGGAUAAGAUGACAGUUGAAACCGCAAGGGGCAGCUGAA